rnacentral:lncRNA from 1 species
GGAGCAGUCCACAGCAGAGGGAAAGGAGGAGUGAGUGUAUUCACCCAGCUCCCUCCUGUGUCUUAUUUCUCAUUGUUCAAGGCUUACUCCCUAGGGGGCUCACUCCCACACUCUAGAUCUUGUCAUCUGGCUACACAGGAGCUAAUUCCCACUCGACUUAGUGUUUCAUCUGAGUCUGAAAGUGGAGGGGCAACUCAGCAUGGGUCAGACACCAACCGAGAGAGAAAGAAGGAAGGAGUCAGGAACCUGAAAUAGAACAAGUCCAUCUGCAGUCUUGGAUUUUCUCUGAGUUCUUCUGAAUAAGAAGUCAACAUUCCAUUGUUGCCCAAAUAAACAGAAGUGGAUGCACUAUUGUGAGAAGGAGUGGAACCAGAUGAAACAUAAACCAUAAAUCUCCUCUGCCUGGUCAGAUCAGGCCAACUGGGAACCUUCCAGCAGAUAAUGGUGCAUCAUGCCCCAUUAUGUACUGGCCCUUGCUUUGCCUUCUGCAUUGGCCCUCCGCAGCAACAUACAGUUCAGGCCACCUCAUCGUUCUCUCAGGAGCAGGCCCUGUCUUGCCAUUGGAGAGCUGCCUCUGAAGACACUGAGGGCCCAGGGUGUGAAGACAUUCAGCAUCAUAUACUACACAGAUGAGUUCUGCCGAGUCCAACCUAGGGACAGCCACAUGGUCCUUUUCUUGAAUUCUAGUCUGGGAUUAGCAAAAAGCAGUCCAUGUGUGAGCAGUGGGGCUCAUGGAGGGUGGCAGUGUCACUGUAGUAGCGCUUCAACUGGCUGCUCCAGUGCCACAAGAGUUUGGUGCUGGAAAGGGGAAAAGCACAAACAGGACAGUAGCUGAAGCAAGAGUGCAGAGAGAGGGGGACUGGGCUGCACAGGAGCAUCUGCUGGCCACUCCAUGGGCAACAUCAUCUCUGGGAACAAAGUCCUUUUCCCUCAGGGGCUAAAAGGUGGCACCAGAUGUGGACAGGCUGUCCAGGGGUAUUGUUGGGGGUUCAUAGAAA